GGAAGUGGGGGGCGGAGGCGGGGGUAAGAAGAGGGGGGAAAGCGUUGUGGGGGAUGACUGGGGGGAAGGGGGGCGGAGGUGGAUCGGGAGGUCGGGAAGUGAAAUCCCGCCGCUCAACGGCGGGGCUGCGUGGGAAACGGCAGGGAUGGGGACCGGUAGAGGGCGGUAGAAUUCCCGGUGUAGCGGUGGAAUGCGUAGAGAUCGGGAAGAACACCCGUGGCGAAGGCGGCCGACUGGGCCGGAUCCGACGCUGAUGCGCGAAAGCGUGGGGAGCAAACAGGAUUAGAUACCCUAGUAGUC
rnacentral:rRNA from 1 species